rnacentral:rRNA from 1 species
AUGGUGCAGUCGAUGUCCUCGAUGACGAGGACGGACUGGUUGGUCAUCCCGAUGAGAAGCUUCCUGAGGUCGGAGUUGCUGUGGACGCCGGUGAGCUCGAGGUCGUAUAUGUCGAACCUGAGGUGGUUGGCGAUGGCGGCGAUGAGGCUGGACUUGCCGGUGCCGGGCGGGCCGUGUAGGAGGUCGUCGAUGACGGAGUGCUUGAGCGUGCGGUCCAUGGCGAGCGUGUCGAAGGUGGAGGGGUGGUUGAGGUCCAUGGGAGACCAGUCGGAGCCGUCGUUCAUGUAGAUGGUGAGAGGCCUGUCCUUGUCCCUUAUCUCCUUGGCGGUGGCGAGGAUGUGGGGGACGUAUGCUUUGAUGGCCUUGUCCUUGUGCUUCUUGUGGAAGGUGAGCUCAUAG